rnacentral:rRNA from 1 species
ACGCACGCUGGCGGCAGGCCUAACACAUGCCAGUCGAGCGAGGACUUCGGUUCUAGCGGCGGACGGGUGAGUAACGCGUGGGAAUGUGCCCUUCUCUACGGAAUAGCCCUGGGAAACUGGGAGUAAUACCGUAUACGCCCUAUUGGGGAAAGAUUUAUCGGAGAAGGAUCAGCCCGCGUUGGAUUAGGUAGUUGGUGGGGUAAUGGCCUACCAAGCCGACGAUCCAUAGCUGGUUUGAGAGGAUGAUCAGCCACACUGGGACUGAGACACGGCCCAGACUCCUACGGGAGGCAGCAGUGGGGAAUCUUAGACAAUGGGGGCAACCCUGAUCUAGCCAUGCCGCGUGAGUGAUGAAGGCCUUAGGGUUGUAAAGCUCUUUCAGCUAGGAAGAUAAUGACGGUACCAGCAGAAGAAGCCCCGGCUAACUCCGUG